rnacentral:lncRNA from 1 species
AAUUUAAGUAUAUAAAUAAAUAAUAAUAAAUAAUAAAACUAAAUGAAUCAAGUUUAAAUUGGAAUCAAAACAAAAUUAAGGACAUAAAUCGUAAAUAAAAAAUAAAAAAAAGGGAAUAGGGACCCAAGUGGAAUACGCACAAAAGAAGGGGACCAAUUGGGAAAUUAUUCUAGGCCUUCUAAUCGUGCCAUUCUGUAAGGGACUUAGAUGAAAUAAAAAUAAAAUAACAAGGGG